UUAAUGAAGAUACAGGGGGAGAGCAAUGUAAUUUGAAAAAGCACAGACUAAAUCGGUCAGCUUUUUAUUGGUAAUAAUGAAGAGGAAGUUUUUAAUCUGUCUUUGCAGGGGUAUAUGCAAUUUCCUUUCACAUCAGAGCCCCUAAUGCCUCCUUUGUUCUUCUGACAACCUUAGAAAUUCUUCAGCCAGGAGCUAUGUACCCAACAGGCAGACGGCUCAGUCUGUGGAUAUUGUGUAAGUGUCUGGAAUGUACACCUGGUACCUCUCCACUGGUAUCCACAGUUAAACAAAGUAAAUAGAAGAUCUCAAGGAGGAAUAUGUUUCAGGUGUACAAUAUCGUGAUUCAACACUGCCACACAUCACCUGGGGCUGACGGGCGUGCUGGUCUUAAGAAGUUAAAAGUUGCGAAAACUGAUGCGCUAACCUUUUGGUAACAAGUUGAAUUAAGAAGGGAGGCACACAAUUUGUGGAAAAUACAGCUAAGGGAGUCCCAGGAGGCUGGCGGUAUGCAAGAGCUGUUUCAGCUUGAGAUUCUCUUUCAUCUCAAAAGCCAAAAUGUAUCAUUUUCUUCAAAAUUUAAUCAUUCUUUGGAUUGUCCCAUGUUAAUGUAAUCCAUUAAUUAAAAGACUUUAAAAUGUUUACAGUUACUUAGUGAUGUGAAGGUAAUCUUCAGGUUUUCCUUUUGUUCAUUUACUCAACACACACACACACACACACACACACACACACACACACACACACACAGUGCCUUCUUUUUUUUUUAAGAUUUUAUUUAUUCAUGAGAGACAGAGAGAGAGGGAGAGAGAGAAGCAGAGGGAGAAGCAGGCUCCCAAGGAGCAAGGAGCAUGAUGCGGGACUCGAUUCCAGGACCCUGGGAUCAUGACCUGAGCCGAAGGCAGCCGCUUAACCAUCUGAGCCACCCAGGCGCCCUAGGGAGUGCCUUCUGAAUGGAAUUCUUUCUAAUGUGUAUGAAGUCAUUAGUGACAAAAAGUAAUGCUAUAGAAAGGAAUAUCAAGUGACACUUUCAUUUAGAUUGUAAGGUCAGGAAAGGCCUCCCUAUCCACCCACCCACUCAUCCAUCCAUCACUCCAACAGAUACUGCUCAGAUACUUCCCUAACAAAGUGACAUUUAAGCUAAGCUCUGAAGGAUGAGUAGGAAAUAGCCUGGAAAAUAUGUAGGAGAUCAGCUGGAGAAGAGGAAACAACUGUGAGGUAGAAAAGAGCUUGGCACAUAAAAGGAACUGAAACGGGACAAUAUGCUGAGGCUCACUGAGCAAGGGAGAAGAUCUUGGUGAGAGAUGUUGGUGGGGAAGGAGGCAGGGAGGAGGGCCUGUUUGUGAUCUUAUUCUAAGAGGUCAGUAAGAAACGGUGACUAUUUUAUAACUUACCCCAUAGCUGGGGGUAGGGCAGAGAAAAAAAAAAGAGAGGAAGAAGGGUAGUAUUGGAAAGAAAAUAUGAAACUGGUGCCAAACACCAGCCCCUCCUUGUGGAUUGUGAUACACACCCUGAAGCAAGAUGUGACCCCCUCUUACUAACAGACCAGUGUUUUUCAAUCUUGAGAAAUGUACAAAUAGCUUUUGAAGGAAAAUAAAAAUUUAUCUAGACCUCCCUCCC
rnacentral:lncRNA from 1 species